rnacentral:tRNA from 1 species
GGGGGCGUAGCUCAGAUGGUUAGAGCGCUGCCCUGUCACGGCAGAGGCCGCGGGUUCGAGUCCCGUCGCUCCCGCUA